rnacentral:misc_RNA from 1 species
UCUAUAUUUUCAAAGGUUAAGGACAAGAGUGACAUUAGGGAUUGUUCUAACGUUGUCUACCAGAUUCCCUGUAACAACUGUAAUUUGGUAUAUGUUGGACAAACCGCACGCAAUUUAGGUAGUCGUUUAGUUAGUCACCGCAGUGAUAGCAGAUUAUAUCCUGAAAGAUCUGCUCUUGCCGAACAUGUUAAUAAAGAACAUCACAAAAUGAAUUACGAAUCGGUCAGAGUUUUAGCUUCUGAAUCCAACUAUACUAAAAGACUGUUCUUAGAGAUGGCUUUCAUUUCGCAGAAUUCUAAUGCAAUGAACAAAAGGAGUGACAUAAAUCAAUUAAGCUCUAUUUACUCAUAUCUAUUAUGUUUGGACAACUAUCCUCAUUUCAAUGAUGUCUUUUCAACUGAUUCAUUGUAAAGUUUCCAGCUUUCAGUACAUUGAAAUGUAAAUUAUUUAUAAUUUUGGUUUUUAACUUCAAACAAAACUCUGGUAAAUUUUUGAUGUGUAUUCUUAAAGUAUUAGUACUACAUAAGACAAAGAAAAAAAGAAGAAGUGGUGUCAUUUGCGUAUGUCCAGGAAUGACAUUGACUUCUAACCUCACAUUUCACACUUGCCGGCACACGUGGCAUGUAAACCUUUUUAAUUGUCUUUUUCUUAUGUGUUAGUGUAGAAAAUAAUUUGUCAAUUUGGUCUUUUACACCAUGUAUUUUUUAAUAUUUGACUCAAUCAAUGAGUGGUGCGUGAAUUUGUCACCUGUGAGUAUAACAUCCACGGAAAGCAAAUCUCAAUAACUUAUUCCUGAUGAUGAAAAUAAACAUUUUCGAAAGCUUGAAACUUAGUUAAAAGAGUACACUUAUUUCACCGCUGCAUAUCCCAAUAACCUCAGAAUUCCGUUUUCUACGUUGUCAGCAAAGACUUCUUUUCCUUUUCUUUUUAAGGCAUGGGAUUUUAUCAGAACAUCGCAUAUCGCUAUGGUGACCUCGCUGUACGGGCACUCAAGGAUUGGUCAAAGACUAAACAAAAAUUGGCAAGAGAAUACAAUAAAAGAUGUUUUUUAUUAAGAUGUAGAUCAUCAAACAUUUCACCUACACACAUCAUACACUCCACUUCAUCCAUCACUAAAUUAUUACAAAGACAGGACAUCCAGUCGAACAAGGAUGCUUUACAAUUUACCAGGUUAGAAAACAGAAUUUUGAAUUUAGAAAUUUCUAAUUGCAUUAAAGUCAUUAACAAUUUAGAGUCUAAUUUAUCUAAACUCAAAAGAGACAUCAUUGACUUUACUUCUGAAUUCAUUUUUAACAACUUUUCUAGUAAACAACAAGUUUUAUAUAACAAAACUUUUCAUAAAACCAAAUUAGUAAAU